rnacentral:misc_RNA from 1 species
AAAUCAGUGUUUCUUGGAAAGACCAAUUUCUCUAAAAUACAAAGAAAAAUAUUGUUAAAAUUCAAGAAGCCAGCCAGCCAGAGGAAUCAUUGUUUCUCUGGGAAAAGAAAGGGGAAAGAGGAGGUUUGAUGGAGAGCAUUCAGGUGUUGUCUCUGUGUGGAAUUGGUACAUGGGUCAUUCUAUCUUCAAUCUUUAAUGUCACCCAAAAGAUUAGAUCUUUAACUCAACCAUGGGUUUCUAGUUAUGUUGUUUCUACCACUCCUAUUACUUUAAAGAUCCAGAAAUAUCAUAACAAGUAUUUGGAUGCCUUCUUUUCUGCCCUUUCUUGUGUUGUUUCUGUGCCAUUCUACACUGCUUUCCUUCCAUUGCUAUUCUGGAGUGGGCAUUGUAAAUUGGCUAGACAGAUGACCCUUUUGAUGGCUUUGUGUGAUUAUAUUGGUAACUGUAUAAAGGAUGUUGUAUGUGCUCCUAGACCUAGCGGACCACCUGUUAGGAGAAUAACAGCAACUGAAGAUGAGAAAGAAAAUGCUCUCGAAUAUGGGCUUCCUUCUUCGCACACACUCAACACUGUCUGCCUGUCAGGGUUCCUCCUUCAGUACAUCUUAUCCUACACACAAAAUGAUGAUGUUAUUACUGGAUUAGCUGGAUUAGCAAUCGUUUGUUUGUUUAUUUUCUUCAUUGCAGUAGGAAGAAUAUACCUGGGAAUGCACAGCUUAAUUGACAUCAUUGCGGGUCUAGCUUUCGGAUUGGCAAUCUUGGCAUCCUGGCUUUCUGUUCACAAAUACAUAGAUGAUUUCAUAGUUUCGGGGCAAAAUGUUGCAUCAUUCUGGGCUGUGCUAUGCUUCUUGUUGCUCUUUGCUUACCCUACACCGCAGUUUCCAACUCCAAGUUUUGAGUUCCAUACAGCCUUUAAUGGUGUGGCAUUGGGAAUUGUUAUUGGUGUCCAUCAGACGUAUCAUCAGUUUCAUCAUGAGAGUGUACCCCGUGUCUUCAAUCCCCAGCUUACCCUUCCUGCAUUUUUGGGAAGACUGAUAGUAGGAUAUCCAACUAUACUCCUUGUAAGGUUCUGCAGCAAGGCUCUUGCCAAAUGGAUGCUUCCCAUGCUUGCCAAUGCAUUGGGCAUCCCAGUGAGAUCAAGCAGCUAUGUCCCAUCACUAAGCAUUUCAGCUUCAGCUAAAAAGUCAGAUGAAAUAAAGCAAGCAGGUUAUAUUCAAAAACUAUUCUUUUUCUCCCGGCAGGACUCGUUUGAAGUUGAUACUGGUAUUAGGCUCUUUCAGUACGCUGGUCUUGCUUGGUCUGUGGUGGAUCUUGUGCCUUCUCUAUUCUUUCACCUGAGCCUAUGAUGCUUGAUAUUUCAUGUAUAAUAGAAUAUAUAUUGUUUGUGUUGAUAUUUAGGAAUACGUUCUUAUCUGACCAUUUUGAACUCUUGUAUGGCAAUUUUGAACUUGUGUAAUAUAUUAUUCUUACUGAUGUAAAUGAGAUAUUCUGCG